AACGAACGCUGGCGGCAUGCCUAACACAUGCAAGUCGAACGGGACCUUCGGGUCUAGUGGCGCACGGGUGCGUAACGCGGAGGAACCUGCCCUUAGGUUCGGAAUAACUCCCCGAUAGGGGUGCUAAUACCGGGUAAUUUCUUCGGACCAAAGCUUUAUCGCCUUUGGAUGGGCCUGCGUUGGAUUAGCUAGGGGGUAAGGUAAAAGCCUACCAAGGCGACGAUCCAUAGCUGGUCUGAGAGGAUGAACAGCCACACUGGGACUGAGACCCGGCCCAGACUGGUACGGGAGGUAGCAGUGGGGAAUAUUGGAGAAGGGGCGUAAGGCUGCUCCAGCGAGGCCGCGUGAGUGAUGAAGGCCUUAGGGUUGUAAAGCUCUUUUACCCGGGAUGAUAAUGACAGUACCGGGAGAAUAAGCACCGGCUAACUCCGUG
rnacentral:rRNA from 1 species